UACAGAGGGUGCAAGCGUUAAUCGGAAUUACUGGGCGUAAAGCGUGCGUAGACGGUUAUGUAAGUCAGAUGUGAAAGCCCCGGGCUCAACCUGGGAAUUGCAUUUGAGACUGCAUAGCUAGGGUGCGGAAGAGGGAAGCGGAAUUUCCGGUGUAGCGGUGAAAUGCGUAGAUAUCAGGAAGAACACCGAUGGCGAAGGCAGUUCUCUGGGACGGUACUGACGCUGAGACGCGAAAGCGUGGGGAGCGAACAGG
rnacentral:rRNA from 1 species